AUGUGCCCUCAGGGGUGGCUCCUCCAAGCUCUGGGUCACAAGGUCACAUCUACCAGCUUGGCUGUUCCCCUGUGCGGUUUCAGACACAGCCCAUGUCCCAAGUGCAAGGGCAUUGUGAGCCCGAAUAACCAUGACCCUGCUCCCUCCCCAGCACCUGAUGCCAGUCGGCCUGUGGCCGGGAGAAGGAUGCUCUGUUAUCAGCAGAGUGAUGGUCAGGCUGCUCAGAUUCAGGUAAUGGAGUCCGGUCCCAGGGGACUUUCACAUCUGCUUAAAAUAUUGUCCAAUAAAAUGAAAUUCCUCAGCAGAUCCUGAGCAGCUUGGGGCAGGCAGGGCUUUCCUGAACCUGCCUCGGCCACCUUUGGGGGAAGGAUGGGGCAGUGAUUCCAGCAGUGGAGCCAGGAGGAGUCCCACAACGGGUUCCAGCUGGGCUCCUUGGGACCGGGCAAUCAGCUCACCUGUGCUGACUCUCACUCUGGGUGCCCCAGUAGAGAAGCAGCCUCCAUGCUGGGCUGCCAUCAGAUAACUUCUCUGAUUCUCUGGCCUCCCCGCCAGGCCGCAGAUAAGCUGCCAGGCACCCUCUCUGGGUCCUGAGCAGAACCGGGGUCCAGGCAACCUUACCCACCUGGCUGGGGUGGAGCCGACUGAGGGCUGAGGCCAGGCAGGCCCCUGGCCUGGUGUGGGCCUCUGGGAAGUUUCCCGGGGCAGCGCAGGGGUGCGCUAAACCAGCCUCUCGCUUCCAGCGAAGGCCAGGCCAGCCCAGCGGCUUUACUCUUUCUUGCUCCUGCUUUGGGCCCUUCCUCUGUGAGGGCCUGACCAGCGCAGUCUGCAGCCAGGGUCCAGACUUGCAGAAAGCCCGCUGGGAUACACAGACCCAAACGGGUACACAACACACACGCUCCACACGCCGAGGAGAGGCACGCAGCGCGCACACAGCUCCUUCAUGUCCGCUGCAAAACGUCUGUCUGGCCUUGUUCGCACCAAGAGGGGUCAGAGGUCAUGGAAGGCCCGGCAGGCCGAGGCCAAGGGCAGCCCGCAGAAGAGCCCAGGGGGGAAGGGGGCGCC
rnacentral:lncRNA from 1 species